rnacentral:rRNA from 1 species
UUUGGUGAUCAUAGCACGAGUGAAACACCCGGUCCCAUCCCGAACCCGGAAGUUAAGCACCGUUGCCGAUAAUUACCAUCUUAAGGUGUGGGAGAGUAGGGCAUCGCCAAAC